rnacentral:rRNA from 1 species
AACCCAGUGUGACUCGUCACACUAUCAUUAACUGAAUCCAUAGGUUAAUGAGGCGAACCGGGGGAACUGAAACAUCUAAGUACCCCGAGGAAAAGAAAUCAACCGAGAUUCCCCCAGUAGCGGCGAGCGAACGGGGAGGAGCCCAGAGCCUGAAUCAGCAUGUGUGUUAGUGGAAGCGUCUGGAAAGGCGCGCGAUACAGGGUGACAGCCCCGUACACAAAAGCGCAUGUGCUGUGAGCUCGAUGAGUAGGGCGGGACACGUGGUAUCCUGUCUGAAUAUGGGGGGACCAUCCUCCAAGGCUAAAUACUCCUGACUGACCGAUAGUGAACCAGUACCGUGAGGGAAAGGCGAAAAGAACCCCGGCGAGGGGAGUGAAAAAGAACCUGAAACCGUGUACGUACAAGCAGUGGGAGCCCCACCACCAAAGCAUUUGCUGUACCGCGUUGACGGAGCGAAGCGACGUCAAACCGAUAAAACAGCAGUGUAAAGUGAGCCGCAGGGCGCUUUGCGCGACAGCGCAAAGGCAGGCGGUUUCGCGUAGCGAAAGCGAAUGCUUUGGGGUGGGGUGACUGCGUACCUUUUGUAUAAUGGGUCAGCGACUUAUAUUCUGUAGCAAGGUUAACCGAAUAGGGGAGCCGGAGGGAAACCGAGUCUUAAUUGGGCGUUAAGUUGCAGGGUAUAGACCCGAAACCCGGUGAUCUAGCCAUGGGCAGGUUGAAGGUUGGGUAACACUAACUGGAGGACCGAACCGACUAAUGUUGAAAAAUUAGCGGAUGACCUGUGGCUGGGGGUGAAAGGCCAAUCAAACCGGGAGAUAGCUGGUUCUCCCCGAAAGCUAUUUAGGUAGCGCCUCGUGAAUUCAUCUCCGGGGGUAGAGCACUGUUUCGGCUAGGGGGCCAUCCCGGCUUACCAACCCGAUGCAAACUGCGAAUACCGGAGAAUGUUAUCACGGGAGACACACGGCGGGUGCUAACGUCCGUCGUGAAGAGGGAAACAACCCAGACCGCCAGCUAAGGUCCCAAAGUCAUGGUUAAGUGGGAAACGAUGUGGGAAGGCCCAGACAGCCAGGAUGUUGGCUUAGAAGCAGCCAUCAUUUAAAGAAAGCGUAAUAGCUCACUGGUCGAGUCGGCCUGCGCGGAAGAUGUAACGGGGCUAAACCAUGCACCGAAGCUGCGGCAGCGACACUGUGUGUUGUUGGGUAGGGGAGCGUUCUGUAAGCCUGUGAAGGUGUGUCGUGAGGCAUGCUGGAGGUAUCAGAAGUGCGAAUGCUGACAUAAGUAACGAUAAAGCGGGUGAAAAGCCCGCUCGCCGGAAGACCAAGGGUUCCUGUCCAACGUUAAUCGGGGCAGGGUGAGUCGACCCCUAAGGCGAGGCCGAAAGGCGUAGUCGAUGGGAAACGGGUUAAUAUUCCCGUACUUGGUGUUACUGCGAAGGGGGGACGGAGAAGGCUAUGUUGGCCGGGCGACGGUUGUCCCGGUUUAAGCGUGUAGGUGUGUGUUCUAGGUAAAUCCGGUUCACUUUAACACUGAGGCGUGACGACGAGGCACUACGGUGCUGAAGCAACAAAUGCCCUGCUUCCAGGAAAAGCCUCUAAGCAUCAGGUAACAUCAAAUCGUACCCCAAACCGACACAGGUGGUCAGGUAGAGAAUACCAAGGCGCUUGAGAGAACUCGGGUGAAGGAACUAGGCAAAAUGGUGCCGUAACUUCGGGAGAAGGCACGCUGACACGUAGGUGAAGUGAUUUACUCAUGGAGCUGAAGUCAGUCGAAGAUACCAGCUGGCUGCAACUGUUUAUUAAAAACACAGCACUGUGCAAACACGAAAGUGGACGUAUACGGUGUGACGCCUGCCCGGUGCCGGAAGGUUAAUUGAUGGGGUCAGCGCAAGCGAAGCUCCUGAUCGAAGCCCCGGUAAACGGCGGCCGUAACUAUAACGGUCCUAAGGUAGCGAAAUUCCUUGUCGGGUAAGUUCCGACCUGCACGAAUGGCGUAAUGAUGGCCAGGCUGUCUCCACCCGAGACUCAGUGAAAUUGAACUCGCUGUGAAGAUGCAGUGUACCCGCGGCAAGACGGAAAGACCCCGUGAACCUUUACUAUAGCUUGACACUGAACAUUGAGCCUUGAUGUGUAGGAUAGGUGGGAGGCUUUGAAGUGUGGACGCCAGUCUGCAUGGAGCCGACCUUGAAAUACCACCCUUUAA